rnacentral:lncRNA from 1 species
GAAAGGACGGCUGAGAGCGGAAGUUAGGGGAGACGCGGUGAGAAAGAGAGGUGCGAUGAGCGCGGUGCUGUGCGCAGGGAUGCUGACGGCGUGGAUGGUGAACGGAGACACGAUGACUGGAGGCGGACGACGGCUGGGCAGAACGCCGGUGAGUGGUGGUGAAGGUGGGCGGCUGGGAGUGGUUAGACGCGAGAGGGAGUUUGACAGAUUUUGAAUUAGGGUUUUUUUUUUCCGUUCACGAUUUUCACUUUUUUUUCCAGUUAGCUUGGCUCACCUGUCAUCCGCGAAUGAUUGAUUAAU